rnacentral:lncRNA from 1 species
UAGACGUGGUAGAUGUCUGCCUGUUACGAAAAGUUCACAAUUAAAUAAAAACGUGAGAUUAAAGCAUGGAGACUUGUUCUUGAAAAGCUUCAGAUCCACUGGCGAGGAGGACCUGCUUCACUUCAUCCUCCAUUCCUGCCCAAACCUCACCCCUCAGCACCUCUCAUGGGUCACACUACCUCCCUGACCAGAACCCACGUCCGGGAGAACCUGAUGUGCUCGAGGACCCGGGGCCUACGCAAAGCGCCUGGACUGAUUGCCAGGGAUGGAUGGUUCUCAAGGGUGCGGUUAUGAGGAAGGUGAAGUGCGCAGACACUAAGCAGCAAAACCCACACAUGACCCCUCAGGGGCCUUCUCCACAUUGUAGAGGUUGCCGGUUUCCCGUCUGCACCUCUUCUGAGCCAGUUACAGCAGGAACUCUAUAACUGUGCUCCGACGAGGAGUUUUGGUCGCCCAUCCCCUGUUACAGGUUGAAAUCUGCAUUUGUUGAGCUGUUUCUUGUGCAUGAGGUCAGGGAGGUGACCAUCCCAGAGGCAGGCUCCUGUGAC